UGGGGAAUAUUGCACAAUGGGCGAAAGCCUGAUGCAGCAACGCCGCGUGCGGGAAGAAGGCCUUAGGGUUGUAAACCGCUUUCAGCAGGGAAGAAGAUGACGGUACCUGCAGAAGAAGGUGCGGCCAACUACGUGCCAGCAGCCGCGGUGACACGUAGGCACCAAGCGUUGUCCGGAUUUAUUGGGCGUAAAGAGCUCGUAGGCGGUUCAGUAAGUCGGGUGUGAAAACUCUGGGCUCAACCCAGAGACG
rnacentral:rRNA from 1 species